UACGUAGGCAGCGAGCGUUGUUCGGAGUUACUGGGCGUAAAGGGUGUGUAGGCGGUUCCCUAAGUUUGGUGUGAAAUCUCCCGGCUCAACCGGGAGGGUGCGCCGAAAACUGGAGGGCUAGAGUGCGGGAAGGGAGAGUAGAAUUCCUGGUGUAGCGGUGAAAUGCGUAGAUAUCAGGAGGAAUACCGGUGGUGCAGACGGCUCUCUGGACCGCGACUGACGCUGAGACACGAAAGCGUGGGUAGCAAACAGG
rnacentral:rRNA from 1 species